AGAGUUUGAUCCUGGCUCAGGAUGAACGCUGGCGGCGUGCUUAACACAUGCAAGUCGAACGAACCUUCGGGUUAGUGGCGGACGGGUGAGUAACGCGUGAGAAUCUGCCCUCAGGAGGGGGAUAACGGCUGGAAACGGCCGCUAAUACCCCAUAUGCCGAGAGGUGAAAUGAAUUUCGCCUGAGGAUGAGCUCGCGUCUGAUUAGCUAGUUGGUGGGGUAAGAGCCUACCAAGGCUUCGAUCAGUAGCUGGUCUGAGAGGAUGAUCAGCCACACUGGGACUGAGACACGGCCCAGACUCCUACGGGAGGCAGCAGUGGGGAAUUUUCCGCAAUGGGCGAAAGCCUGACGGAGCAACGCCGCGUGAGGGAUGAAGGCCUCUGGGCUGUAAACCUCUUUUCUCAAGGAAGAAGAUCUGACGGUACUUGAGGAAUAAGCCACGGCUAAUUCCGUGCCAGCAGCCGCGGUAAUACGGGAGUGGCAAGCGUUAUCCGGAAUUAUUGGGCGUAAAGCGUCCGCAGGCGGCCUUGAAAGUCUGCUGUUAAAGCGUGGAGCUUAACUCCAUUUCAGCAGUGGAAACUACAAGGCUAGAGUGUGGUAGGGGCAGAGGGAAUUCCCGGUGUAGCGGUGAAAUGCGUAGAUAUCGGGAAGAACACCAGUGGCGAAGGCGCUCUGCUGGGCCAUAACUGACGCUCAUGGACGAAAGCCAGGGGAGCGAAAGGGAUUAGAUACCCCUGUAGUCCUGGCCGUAAACGAUGAACACUAGGUGUCGGGGGAAUCGACCCCUCCGGUGUCGUAGCCAACGCGUUAAGUGUUCCGCCUGGGGAGUACGCACGCAAGUGUGAAACUCAAAGGAAUUGACGGGGGCCCGCACAAGCGGUGGAGUAUGUGGUUUAAUUCGAUGCAACGCGAAGAACCUUACCAGGGUUUGACAUCCUGCGAAUCCCUUGGAAACGAGGGAGUGCCUUCGGGAGCGCAGUGACAGGUGGUGCAUGGCUGUCGUCAGCUCGUGUCGUGAGAUGUUGGGUUACUCCCGCAACGAGCGCAACCCACGUCUUUAGUCGCCAGCAUUGAGUUGGGCACUCUAGAGAGACCGCCGGUGAUAAACCGGAGGAAGGUGUGGAUGACGUCGAGUCAUCAUGCCCCCUUACAUCCUGGGCUACACACGUACUACAAUGCUACGGACAAAGGGCAGCAAACUCGCGAGAGCUAGCAAAUCCCAUAAACCGUGGCUCAGUUCAGAUCGUAGGCUGCAACUCGCCUACGUGAAGGAGGAAUCGCUAGUAAUCGCAGGUCAGCAUACUGCGGUGAAUACGUUCCCGGGCCUUGUACACACCGC
rnacentral:rRNA from 1 species